GCACUGCUGAGGAGUCCCACAAUAGGACGAAAGAGCCAUCCAGUGC
rnacentral:hammerhead_ribozyme from 1 species